AUGGCAUCAACAGGGCACACAAGUGAUAUUAUUUGUCGUCGUUGUAAGGGAGGAGGUCAUUAUGCGAGAGAAUGCAAAUCUCCGCGUGUGAUGAUUGCUACCGCGGAUGGUGGAUAUGAGUCCGCUAGUGACUAUGAUGAGGAGACUUUGGCUCUUAUUACACGUGAAGAACAUGGUGGAGAUGAUUCUGAUCAUGAGACGCAAUACAUGGCUCCUGAAGACGCUGACAGGUAUGAAUGUUUAGUUGCUCAACGUGUUUUGAGUGUGCAGGUCACACAAGCUGAGCAAAAUCAGAGGCACAAUUUGUUCCAUACCAAGGGAGUUGUGAAAGAACGUUCUGUGCGCAUCAUCAUAGAUGGAGGGAGCUGCAACAACUUGGCUAGCGUGGAGAUGGUGGAGAAGCUUUCUCUCACCACAAGACCACAUCUGAUGAGGACAUCAAUACAAUUGUUACACCCACAGCCCCUGCUGCUAUAA
rnacentral:rRNA from 1 species